ACAGCAGUUACUGUUUAAACAGGUGGUGGCUGUGGAGGGUUGGGAGGGACUAGGCUUCAGUACCAGGCAUGGACAGGCACAUGCCACAAGGGCCUCUGCAUCAGCCACAUGGAACUGGCCUACCCCUGUUCCCAUGUCCCCCUCCUCCUGACCUUUCCCCCAUCACUUCUUCCUGUCAGCUGAGAGGUACCCUGGAUUGACCCUGCCUCUCUGGCUUGGCUUUCCUGUCCCCACAGUGGGUGAUGGGGCCACUUACCAGCUUCCGAAGGGCUCCCUCAUCCAGCCCAGCUAAGGCCUCGUCCGCCAUCUCGCUGGCCCCUAGCUCCGUCGGUUCCUUUCUGGUGAGAUCCCCAGUGCCUGUGGCACCUGUCACCAGCUCAGAGAAUUCUGCAGGGGACAGACAUGAAUCAGGCAUGCUGGGGCUUCCAGAAACCACAGGCACUUAGGCUCUGUGCCUUACUUUCCCUCUCUAACCUAGGAGCGUCCAUUACUGUCCCAUCCUAUAAUGUGGCUCCUGGCUGGAAGCUGCCCUCUGCCCUAGGGUGGUUUGCUGGAAAACUCACCAAACCCAGGGUAGGGGGUCUCUGGUUCCAGCCCUGCCAGCUUGGCCGCCAGUCUGCUGUGUGGCCUGGGAUGGACUCUCAUCCUGUCUAAACCUCAAAACAGGGAGGGCAGGGACCUGGAUUGAGAAGCCAGGGCCUGGCAAGACCCACCCAAGCUGUGCUUACCACCAGGGGGUGCACUCCAGUCUCCAGUUUCCUGCCCCACCCACCCAUCCACAGGGCCUACCCAGCCCCCACCCACUCCGCAGGCUCAGCUUCUGGCUGUGGGCUGAACCCGUAGUUCUUGCUGCCACCACCACUGUCAUUCCCCCAGGUAUAGGAAGGUACACUGUGUCUUCCGAUUCUUGGAGCCAGCUCUGCUGUCCAGACCUCCUGAAGCCAGGUGUCCAGGCACCCAGCACCUCCUGCCAAUUCAUACAGAAUUCAAUUCCCCACCUGGAAGGGCUUUCAGAAGCUGACCUGCCCAACCCCUGGAUUUCAGGCAAACUGAGAAGAUUGGAGAGGGCCAAGGAUUUGUCACUGAGCAAGGAGGAAGCCAAAGACUUAGAGGGCAGAGAAGGAUGUAAUCAAAAUCUUCGUCAUCUCCGGCUUCCGAAGCUCCCUUCCAAAGUGCCCUCAAGGGCCUGGAACACUCUCAGUGACAGAGGCAAGAGCCCCAUCUUGCCCCAGUGCUGCCCAUCAAAAUGGACCCCUAAAUCCUGGCCCAGCCUCCCAGCGCAGAUCUCUCCUUCCUCCUGUAGCCCCAACUAAUGUCUGUCUGGAAUUUGAGGGGCCCUGGUCUGGCACACUGUGGAUGCUUAGUUAAUGUAUGGUGACUGACUAAUGUGUGGCCCCAGGCCUGCCCCCC
rnacentral:lncRNA from 10 species